UCAUUCUUUGAGAGGAUGUAUCAGUAAAGUUUACGAUCAUUCUUUGAGAGGAUGUAUCAAAAUAAUGACAUGGAUUUUGUGAGAUUAUUGCUAUGAGAACUACUUUAGAAAUGAAAUGGAAUACCCAUACGAUCAGACACUUUAGUAAUGUUGUUCGUAAAAUGUUCUGUUGAACACCAGAAACUCAAACUGAUAGAUCUAUAAAUAUAUAUGUUAACGUUAUUAUUUGUCGCGGCUUUAUAACGUUUUAUAGAAAAUUGAUUCUAAUAUGAAAAGUCACUGUGGGAGUAGAAGAGUACCAAAGUCAUAUGCAUUAACUUUAAAGUAAUAGUAUUACUCGAAAGUAAUAGUUUAAUUCAGAAUGGUAUUAAGUAACUUGAAUAGUCAUGUUUUUGUUAGUGUUCUGUGUAGCGAAGGAAAUAGCGUAUUAGCCUUGAUUAAUGGUACGCCACUUUGAAAAGCUGUCGACCACCGACCAUGGUUUAUAUUUGUUUGUGGAAAAUGUCAUGAGUCUAACCAGUGUUAGCAGAAGCCUUGCCAUAGUUUGUCAGCGUAUAAGUCUCAAUUGUGGGUCUGCACUUGCGUUUUAAUGAAUGCGUAGUACAAUCUCUCGGCUGAAAAUGGCUAGAAGCCACUAAAUAAUUCGGUCGAGGACUGAGGGCCAAGGCAUUUGUAGAAUACUGUUUAACUAUAAUUUCAUUAUAACUAAUUAAAUCAAAAUGGCAUUCCAGCAUAGUCGGGUCUACUGUCUAAGUCACUGUGUCAUUACCUGACGUCGAAGGUGAACCUCAAUUCGUGUUAUUAGAUGACGUCAUAGUGCAGACCUAUCUUCGAGACCUUAGGUGCAUAAAUGAUCAGUGACAUGAGUAAAGUUUUUUCUUCAGACGGUACAUUUAAUUAUGAUGAAUACCGUUAUUUCAAAUUAAUUCAUAACAUUUUUAUAUAAAGCGUAUAUAUAAUGCGCUUACAUGUACUUUGGUGUUCUGCUCCCACAGGUUUGUGAAGUUAGGCAUGGCAAUUAUACGAAAUUGUUACAGAAAAAAAAAUGAUAGUCGUAGAGUAUAAAUAUAUAUUUAAGCAUGCUUGAAUUCGUUCCGUUUUUCAGUAUUUCGAGGAAUAGUCUGAGCAUUUCAAUAUGUUAUACAUUGGCUACGGAACCACGUUUCCUCCUGUCCUUGUUAAAAAUCGGGGAGGGGGUUUUUCGUGGGCGGCUCGUAUUCCGUUUGAGAAAUAUACAAUCGAAUUUGUUCAACGUGAUAAAAUGUAGCGACUUUAAAUGUAUUGUUUAAUAUACAGAUUCGAUUGUGGCAUGCAUAUCAAUUGAUAUGACGGCAUCUCGUAUAGCAUUUGUACAUAUCUGAAUAACAUUUACAUCUUGAUGCCGUGUGUUUGCUAUUCUGUUAUCGGAAUGUAAAAUUGUUGACCUUUGUACACUGAUAACUUCUAUGUACAGUUAGUAUUUCCCACUUUUGCAGCCAUCACUGGGGAUAAUUGUUCUUUCGAUUGAUUCAAAUUGUAUCUUAUUUAUUUAAUGUAUUCUGUUUGUACCUUUGCAGUGUCGCUGGGGCAAAUGAAAUUAGGUUAUUUUCAUUAUACAUCUUUAAAUUAACUGUUUGUAUAGUAUGUGCAUUUUAAACAUUAUGUCACCUUGCCAGUUGCCAUGAGAAAUCUUUAAAAUAAAGUUGCGGCCUUUUCCCAUUAAACUGUGUUGUAGUUUUCAUUUAUACUGAUAUGUUAGUUGUAGUGGGUGUGACAGACGUAUAUGGUCGGGCGCUAACUCAUCUGCCAACGAAAUGUGAUAUUAUCAGUCAUUAAUAAUUUCAUUCUUGUUUUCUUUUAUAAUGGCUGAUGGUUUUGCGUCUUGCUAAUGGCUGCUGUCAUUCCCUGUUAUAUGGUCCAGUGAUAAAAUAAACGGGAAAAAUCAUGCAGAAAUUAUCAGUAUUAUGUUUCCAAACAUAUUCAUCUAUAUUUCUCAUAAAAUUAAUUAGGAUGUCAAAGUAAAUAACCUCUGGAAAAGGCAUUUUUCUCGCAGUAGUUUGUAGACAUAUGGUAUAUGACGCAAAAGCAUCGCUUAUGGUAGAGGACAAAACAAAAAUGCUGUACAUUAUACAAAAUGAUUUACUCGAGGUCAGCAGCCUUUCCUGUUACAUUUCCUAGGUACGACCAAACUGGAGAGAACAUGAUAAUUUUAAAAUGGUUUUACGAAUAUCAGUGUUAAUAACAGUAGCAGUAGUCAAGCAAUAGAGUUAACUGAUAGAGCAGAUCCAACAUCUCAGACUUUAAGCGCAGAACCUCGAGUAACUGUCAACAAUUCUGGUGCAGAGAACAAUGCUGAUACUUCCAGCCCUACUGGCAGCGACACUGUGACACCGGAUACCUCAGAUAUCACCGGAGCUGCUAUCGAAAGACCGGUUGCUUUACGUAUGCUGCCAGUUUCUGUUAACGAGGGUACAGGAGAAUAGGCAUUACAAGAAGAAAAUAAUAUCGAUUCUCUAGACGUUGAGUAUCUAUGGUAUGCGGCAACAAUUGUUGAUCUAGGUGAUCCAGCAACGGGACGAAUAAACCCUAUACGAGAUGAGGAUUUGAAUAGACAGAUGAGUGGACCAUCAUGACCUCAGACACGUUCACACAACCAAUCUUCUUUCGGUUUUGGACACAUGAUUAAUUCAACAACCAAUAAGGCAUUUGUAAGGUGUACGGUUCUUUAGAUGAAGUUGCAAAAACGAAAUUAAAAUAUUUCUGGAAAACAGUUCAGAACUAUAUCUAGAUCAUGUGUCUCAAUAUUCAUGUAUCUAUAUGUAUAAAUGUUAAUACGCAUUAUGUUUAAAAAAUGUGUUCAUGUGAUCUGCCAUACAUUGAAUCUUAAACAAUAGAUAAUUUCGCGAUGAUUGCAAAAAUAAAAUAAUAUAGAUCUUAAUAAAGUCUUUAACCUUUAGCCUGUUUGCGGCAAGUGAUUCUGCCUUUGCGACCAGUGCAGACCAAGAUCAGCCUUUACGUCUGUGCAGGCUGAUCAUGAUCUGCACUGUUUGCUAUGCAGUCAGUUUUACAGUGAACACCCAUUCAAAUAAUAAAUGGUACUGCCCAUAUAUUGAAUGAUGGACCAGUGUUUUUUAGAAAUUUAGCAGGCUAAGGUUAAUGGCUUCUUAAAAUUUACGUUUUAUUACUGCCCUUAACUUCAAUAAUGUGUACUUUAAUGUUUACAAUGCAAAACGGAUAUAGAAGGGGUGUGCUUAUGCCUGUGUAUAAAUAAACUUUCGGUAGAAUCGCUCAUUACGGCAUGUUUAAAAUAGCAACAGAAACGGAUGGCAUUUUUAACUGUCGGCUUUGAUUUUUGUUAAAAAUCGAAUGAUUAAUAUUCCAUCCCCACCUUUGUUUAUUUUCCUAUUCUUUAUUUUUCUUUACAAAUUUAAAGGUUGUUGUUGAAUGGCCUCCGCCUUGCCACAAGCUGUUGCAGCUCAACGAGAAAUUUCGGCAUGUGUGAUUUUUUUUAUUUAGAAUAUGUCUUCGGCGAGGUAUAUUUUUUUCAACAAAUAAUGUAUUAUGUGCGACCUGAUGUUUAUCUGCCUGAUCUCUGUCCGACCUGGUGGUCAAGUCAACCUGCUACGGUAUAUCUUAAUUAUGCGUUAUCCGAAAUUAACUAGAUUUCAAGUAUACUCAUACUAAUGCUUUAUUUCGGUUGGUCUGAUCUCUGUCGGAUUCUUUUUCCAGGUCUGUUAGUCAGCCUCCACCAGUAUAUCCCAACUAGUCGUAAUAAGAAUUUAAAUGUUUAUGUUUACUUUACUAGUCAUCUGUUAGUGGGUUUCCUAUUUGCAUUCCCAACGCUUUACUUAUAUUAUUUACGGUUAAGGUUUAGGAGUAUAUGAUCAAAAACACAGAAAUAUUUGAUAAACAAACAACAUCUUUACCAACAGUCUACCUAACCAUUACAUGUUCUGAAGUACUGUACCGUGUGAUGGAUACUUGAAAUAUUCUGAAGACGUUGUCCCCCUUUAAAAAUGAAUGCCAUUUGUAAAGAAAUAAAAGGAACAAUUACUGAAAACUACUUUCCAGCACUGGGACAAUAUUGCAAAUGCAUCAACAAGAAGAUACGUAACAGUUUUUUAAAAUAGUGGGUCUUUAAAGGUUUUAAACUGUCCAAAAUGUGGCCCAUUAAUGCAGUCAUUUUCACGGAAGUUAAUGUAACUAGAGCUCGUCGAACACGAAAUGCCCCCCUUGAUGCAUUCAGUAAUUGCACAAAGAACAGAAAUUAUAAGCUCAUGGUAAACAAAAAUUCUACUGUUCUGGUCCAAUCUGACCUUGACCUUUAACCUAUUAACCUAACAAGAGAUCACAAAGUGAUCUUGGCACCAACCACUGAGCCAUUUUUUAAUAUUCCAAAUUUCAAGACUAGCUCAAGAUCAAAAUCAAGGUUAAAUUUCAUUUCGGUACAAAACACUGUGCAUGUAGUCCAAAUUUGGAAGCUGUGGCCUUUAGAAAUGUGAAAGAAGGUCACUAGAUCAAUUUCAAGGUCAAACUUUAUUUCGGUAGGCAGAACUAUGCAUGUGCUUCAAAUUUGGAGGCUGUAGCUUGAAAAAUGCGAAAGUAGAUACUAGGUAAAAAUCAAUGUCAAAUUUCAAUUCAGAACACAAAACUAUGCAGGCAGUCCAAAUUUGAAGCCUGUAGCUUCAGAAAUGUGAAAGUAGGCCACUAGGUCAAAAUCAAGAUCAAAGUUCAUUUCAGUACACAAAACUAUGCAUGUGGUCCAAAUUUGAAGCCUGUACCUUCAAAAAUGUGAAAGUUGGUCAGUAGGUCAAUAACAAGGUCAAAGUUUGUUUCGGUACACAAACCUAUGCAUGUGGUCCAAAUUUGAAUGCUGUAGCUACAGAAAUGUAAAAGUAGGUCACUAGGUCAAGAUCAAGGUCAACUCAUAUCUAGGUUCAUCUUGCCACUUAAAACAAAACAUGUGGUCCAAAUUUGAAUGAUGUAGGUUAUAGACAUGAAGUUUUUCCCUAUAUAAGUCUAUAUGAAAAAUGUGACCCCCGGGGUGGGGCCAUAUUUGACCCUAGAGGGAUAACUUGAACAAACUUGGUAGAGAACCACUAGAUGAUGCUAAAUUAAAAAUAUCAAAGCUCUAGUCUUUGUGGUUUGGACAAGAAGAUUUUCAUAGUUUUUCCCUAUAUAAGUCUAUGUAAACCAUGUGACACCAGGGCGGGGCCAUAUUUGACCCUAGGGGAAAAUAAUUUUAAACAAACCUAGUAGAGGACCAGUAGAUGAUGUCAUAUACAAAAUAUCAAAGCCCUAGGACCUGUGGUUUUGGACAAGAGAUUUUUCAAGGUAUUUCCUAUAUAAGUCUUUAUAAACCAUGUGAGCCCCUGGGUGGGGCCAUAUUUGACACCAGGGAAAUAAUCUAAACAAUCUUAGUAGAGGACCACGAGAUUUUGCUACAUACCAAAUAUCAAAGCCUUAGGCCUUGUGGUUUUGGACAAGAAGAACAGAAACCGUUUAACUGUUCCUGGCAAAUGUGAGCUUGACCUUUGACCUAAUGACCUCAAAAUCAAUAGGGUCAUCUACUGCUCAUGACCAACCUCACUAUCAAUUUUCUUGACAAUAGGCCUAAGCGUUUUUGAGUUAUUGCCUGGAUACCAUUUUACUGUUCCUGGUCACUGUGACCUUGACCAUUGACAUACUGAACUCAAAAUCAAUUGGGGUCAUCUGCUGGUCAUGACCAAUCUCCCUAUCAACUUUCAUGAUUCUAGGCCCAAGCAUUCUUGAGUUAUCAUCCGGAAACGGAUGGGUCUACAAACAGACCGACCGACCGACAGACAGACAGACCAACCAACCAACCGACCGACCGACAGACAGACCAACCGACAUCUGCAAAACAAUAUACCCUCCUUCUUCGAAGUGGGGCAUAAAUAUCAGUAAACUGACAAUUGUUUCGUAGAGUAAAAUACAUGUUUUAUAUGCUGUUCAAUUUUCAUGUGAAACAACCUUUGUUGUUGUUGUUGUCUCAAAAUAUAUGGUUAAGCUACAAUGAUUUCGAAACAAAAUAAAGUAUUAUUAUUCUUAUCAAA